rnacentral:rRNA from 1 species
UACAGAGGGUGCAAGCGUUAAUCGGAAUUACUGGGCGUAAAGCGUGCGCAGGCGGUUUUGUAAGCCAGAUGUGAAAUCCCCGGGCUUAACCUGGGAAUGGCAUUUGGGACUGCAAGGCUCGAGUGCGGCAGAGGAGACUGGAAUUCCUGGUGUAGCAGUGAAAUGCGUAGAUAUCAGGAGGAACACCGAUGGCGAAGGCAGGUCUCUGGGCUGACACUGACGCUCAUGCACGAAAGCGUGGGGAGCAAACAGGAUUAGAAGUACCCGA